rnacentral:tRNA from 1 species
UGCCCGAUUGUGUAACGGUAGCACACUGGAUUUUGGUUCCAUUUGUCCAGGUUCGAAUCCUGGUCGGGCAGCCA